CAGGCCUAACACAUGCAAGUCGAACGGUGCUAGCAACAGCAUAGUGGCGCACGGGUGCGUAACACGUAACUAACCUACCUAUAACUGGGGGAUAGCCCGCCGAAAGGCGGAUUAAUACCGCAUAAGCUCUGAGGGUGGCAUCACCUUUUUAGUAAAGAUUUAUUGGUUAUAGAUGGGGUUGCGGGUCAUUAGCUAGUUGGUUGGGUAAUGGCUGACCAAGGUGACGAUGACUAGGGGAGCUGAGAGGCUGGUCCCCCACACGGGCACUGAGAUACGGGCCCGACUCCUACGGGAGGCAGCAGUACGGAAUAUUGGGCAAUGGGCGAGAGCCUGACCCAUCCAUGCCGCGUGCAGGAAGAAGGCUUUCUGAGCUCGUACACUGCUUUUGACAGGGAAGAAUAAGCUUGACGUGUCAGGUGAUGACCGUACCUGCAUAAUAAGCACCGGCUAACUCCGUGCCAUCAGUCCGGGUAAU
rnacentral:rRNA from 1 species